UACGUAGGUGGCAAGCGUUAUCCGGAAUUAUUGGGCGUAAAGCGCGCGCAGGCGGUUUCUUAAGUCUGAUGUGAAAGCCCACGGCUCAACCGUGGAGGGUCAUUGGAAACUGGGGGACUUGAGUGCAGAAGAGAAAAGCGGAAUUCCACGUGUAGCGGUGAAAUGCGUAGAGAUGUGGAGGAACACCAGUGGCGAAGGCGGCUUUUUGGUCUGUAACUGACGCUGAGGCGCGAAAGCGUGGGGAGCAAACAGG
rnacentral:rRNA from 1 species